rnacentral:rRNA from 1 species
UACGAAGGGAGCUAGCGUUGUUCGGAAUCACUGGGCGUAAAGCGCACGUAGGCGGAUGUGUCAGUCAGGGGUGAAAUCCCGGAGCUCAACUUCGGAACUGCCUUUGAUACAGCACGUCUUGAGUCCGGAAGAGGUGGGUGGAAUUCCCAGUGUAGAGGUGAAAUUCGUAGAUAUUGGGAAGAACACCGGUGGCGAAGGCGGCCAUCUGGACCGCAACUGACGCUGAGGCGCGAAAGCGUGGGUAGCAAACAGG